rnacentral:SRP_RNA from 12 species
GCCGGACGUAGCGGUGUGCGUCUGUAAUCCAACUACUAGGAGGCCGGGUAUAUGAAUGGUUUGAGAUGAGGAGUUCUGUGAGCAUUGCGCCUAUGUAGAUCGGAUGUCCACAGUAAGCUUGGCGUCAACAUGGUUAUAUUGUCGGAGGAUAGAAUACCCAGGUUGUUUAAUGAGAGAGGUAACGGCUCAGGGGAGAAAUCCUGCAGGCAAAACUCUCCACGUCAUUCGGUAUUGGGAUAGCAUCUGUGAAUAGAGCAGUGUUGGCAGCCUCAUCAAUAUGACCAGACUCGUACCUUU